UUAUUUACGAAGGCCCAAUUCAACAUAAAUUCCUUGGCCCAAUUCUUAAUUAAAAAUCAGCAGUACUCCCUUCCCAUCGUGACUUUCCUUUCCCCAACUCUCACAUUUCCAUUUCCAAAAUCAAAACCCCUCUUUGAACAAGGCAACGGCGGCGGCUACCCUUCCAUCUCGGCGACCGGCGAUCUUCGCCGCCCUCUGCGUCGCCGCCCCCGUCACCUCUCUCAAAUUCCCCAUCUCUUUUCCAAUUUAUCCCAGAUUCAUCAAAUUUCACCAUCCCUAAAUCAAUUUCAGAGGCGGCGCCUUUCCUCUCCGGCGAAACCGCCUCUCCGCGGCGCCGGAGCUACACCAGCUCCGCCUUCUCUCUCGAGUUCGCACCUCGUCUCCUUUCCUCUCGGCGGGAUCGCGCCUCGCCUGCGUCGCCGGGCGAAUUCGCCAAUGGCAGCCCGUCGGCUCCAAGCUCGCAGCUGCUCCUCCUCGGCGGCCUUGACUCUGCCGGUUCUCCAUUCGGUGAAGUCCCGGUUAGGAAGAAGGCGCCGCCUCUCCCUCCGUCGGCUUCCCUCUCUCGCUCGGCGGCCUCACCGCACCGCCGCCGACGUCGCUCGCUGUCGGCCUCGGCAAGGAUGCCGUCGUCCGCCUCGCCCCUGCUGCCGCCGUGAUCCGCAGCUUCUCUGCGGAAGUUCUUCGGCUCCGUCGACAUUCGCCGUCGCCCGGUCGCCCCUCCGCCUAAGCUAAGUCCUCUCCCCCUACCCCUUACUCCUUUUUUGUGUUAUGGCAGUAGCUUAUUUUUGGAAAAGAAAUUCUCCAUUGGAGUCUUGUGUGGCUUAUGGUGAUAUAUUGCUCAAAUUGAAAUCUUGCUAAGUUCUUGCUUAUGAUACCAUGCCACUGAAUUCAUAUGGAGGGGGGUAUCAUGCGGCUAUCUCUAAUUUGCAUAGCUCUAAGCUCUUGAGCUUCAACUUAGUGUUACAUGAUUGCUAUUGUUUUCAUCCUUGCUGUGAGGAUCCUAUGAAAAUUCUAAGUUCUUGUGCUAGCUAUUCGUUGUUCUACAUGAUGCGAAGAGUGUUGGUAUUGAGGUUGUUGGGAUUACCUUAAAGUUGAAUCCUCCUCGGUGGUGGCUGUCCUUGCCGUCACCACUCGCUGCCCCUCUCCCUCCUCCUUCGCUGCUCUCCUUAUGGUGUUGUGUGGAAUUGUGAUGAUGAAAGUGAUGGUGGAGGAGGUGAGGAGAUGGCUCCUAUAUAGUGCUAAGCUAUUGGAAGCUAGGUUUGAGACUUGGAGCCAAAGGCUCCUAUUUUGGGCUUGUUAGCUCUCUUAUUUUCGAGCUUGAUGAUUGUGAGAUUCUUGCCGUUUUGGUGAUGGUGGCUGAUCUUCUUGGCUGAUUUCUCGGCUUUGAUCGACGGGGAGAUGAGAGUUUGUCUCAUCUUCUACUUUUGGGCUUGUGUAGGAGCUCGCUCUCCAAUGCCCCUUUGUCUCGACUCCCUUUUGAUGUUAGAAGAGAUGGUACAUGGAGGCAUUCUUGGAGCUUGUGGAGGCCGAAAAUCGAGAAUGAUGGGAAUGAGGGAAACACUUAGAUUUAGUUGCUCUAUUUGGCUAGUAUCCGAAUAUUGUAGUUUGACAUCUUUGAAAUGCUAAGUUGUAGCUUUCACUUUUGUAUUUUCCACAUGUAACUAUUAUGUAGCAAAAUCUCACACCUCUCAAUAAGAUUGUAUAGCCCUUUUCCA